GCUGGAUUGGCGGAAUAGGUAGACGCAGGGGACUUAAAAUCCCCCGAUGGAAACAUCGUACCGGUUCGAUUCCGGUAUCCAGCA
rfam:Weissella kandleri strain DSM 20593 Scaffold3, whole genome shotgun sequence.